CCUAGCCCUAAACACUGACCACAUAUACACAACAUAACCCGCCAGAGGACUACAAGCGAAAAGCUAAAAACUCCAAGGACUUGGCGGUGCCUUAAACCAACCUAGAGGAGCCUGUCCCAUAAUCGAUACCCCACGUUAAACCUUACCCCCCUUAGCCAAACAGCCUAUAUACCGCCGUCGCCAGCCUACCUUAUGAAAGAAAUAAAGUAAGCAAAAUAGUUAACAACUAACACGUCAGGUCAAGGUGUAGCACAUGGGGGGGAGAGAGAUGGGCUACAUUUUCACAAAGCGAAGACACGAACAGCAUGUUGAAACACCUGCUUGAAGGCGGAUUUAGUAGUAAAAUACAUAAGAAAACCCAUCUUAAACCUGCUCUAAGGCGCGCACACACCGCCCGUCA
rnacentral:rRNA from 1 species